UAAGAUUUAAGAAUAAAAAGAAGACAAAGAAAGAAAGGGAAGAAAGAAGAGAAUAGAAAGAACCACAAAGGGUUCAUCUUUUCUUUCAUUACUAUAUAAAAUAAAAUAUUACACAUUUAUAUAUACAAAUCCCCUAAAAUUACUCAGCUUAAUUAGAAAUAUAAACUCUACUAUAAUUAUCUACUUAAUUAGGAUCCUACCUAAAUAGGAAUAUAUAUCCUACAUUAAAUAGCGCUACUAAUUAGAAAUACAAAUCAUGAUCUAUUUAGGAAUAUAAAACCUAUACUAAAUAGGAAUAUAUAAAUUCAUAUUGACUUUCUAUAACAAUGUACAUCUCUUUUCACAAUUUUAUUAGCUGUUUUUGGGGUGAGUAGGAACCUCACCCUUAUCAUUCCAGUAACUUGCACAGAUACAAAAGUACAAUUAUUUUAUUUUAUUUUCGAAGAUGAGCAAGUAUGUGCAAAUGUAAGAAGAAAACACUUGUCAUUUUUUCAUCCAUCAUCAUUCAUUGGCAAGUUUUUUACUAUUUUGCUAUGGGAUCUAAUGAUAAUGACAUAAAUACAGGCUUUCAACAACCAUCUAUCAAAUCUGAGUAGCAUAUUUUCUUGUAGAACCCCCAUAUGAUGUGUUGACAAUGAAAGAACAAUUCCUUCUUACUAACAGAAAAUGCAAAUUUUCAUUAGGUGCUCAAAAAAAUUUUCAAAAUGAUUGAACAGAGAAAUAAUUACACAAGGGGUCUUUGAGCAGCUUCU
rnacentral:misc_RNA from 1 species